CCCCCUUUUGAAGUUUUUGAAAUUAAAAGAUUUUUUUUUAAACAGAACAGAAGACGUAUUGUCUUCUUCAUGUGAAUUGUGUUUUCAGACUGAUGUGGAUGUUUGAUAAAUCAGAAAAUAGUGUCCUUGGAUGUGGCUUCCUCUAUUUAAUGAGAUCUUCAUGGAAUAGAUCGAACUAUUUUGAAUCGUGCACUGAAACUAUUAGAACAGAAGGGAAAACUUGUGGUCUUUAAAGGAACUUCAACUGAUGAUGAAGGAGUUAAAUUUUCUAUAUAAUUGUUUUGUGAAUUAAUCUAUUGAAUCUUUGGGGAUUUUACAAGUCAUCAACAGGGGAAUCUUUUGCUAUCUAUUUAAUGAGUUUGUUGAUGUGCAAGAUGUGUAAGAACAAGCUGUAGUAAAUUGCUAUCAAUUUUCAUUUCGGGAGCUUUGCUGUGUUAAUUGCUUUGUGGCUAUUCGUAGUAAAAUUAGUGAAAUUAUGCUCCCUGUGAAAUCAUUAAAUUCGUAAAUUGAAGGAGGGAUUCCAAUGUGCCAAAAGCUAUCCUGGUAUCAAACAUUGAUAUUAUUAAAAAUAAUGAAGUUGCUUCUGUGUCAAUGGUUA